rnacentral:rRNA from 1 species
UAAGACAGAGGUGCCAAGCGUUAGGCGGAAUCACUGGGCUUAAAGCGUGUGUAGGCGGGUUCGUAAGUACCUUGUGAAAUCCCACGGCUUAACCGUGGAACUGCUCGGUAUACUGCGAGUCUUGAGCCAACUAGGGGCUACUGGAACAAAUGGUGGAGCGGUGAAAUGCGUAGAUAUCAUUUGGAACGCCAAUGGUGAAAACAGGUAGCUGGGGUUGUGCUGACGCUGAGACACGAAAGCCAGGGGAGCAAACGGGAUUAGAUACCCCGGUAGUCCUGGCUGUAAACGAUGUCGACUAGAUCGCAGUGCCUCUGACGGUAUUGCGGUCGUAGCAAAAGUGCUAAGUCGACCGCCUGGGAAGUACGGUCGCAAGGCUA